CAAAUUUUAUAUAUGAAUUACAGGAACAGGAAAGAACGGACUUACAUUGGGUGUACAACAGUAUGCAUCCCUUAAGAUUUUUUUGUGUUUAAAUUUACCCUUGUUUCCAGGGUAGGUAAAAAGCGUGUGAAAAUCACCCUAUAAUAGGUACUACUUUUUGCGUAUAAGCGGAGGAAUUGCAUCGUUCAUGCCAGAGUCAGAGUAUAAAUAGCGGGCUGCAAUGAACGAAAUUUCACAGUUGUUGGCGAGAAGUUAUACUGAAUAUGCUGUGAAAAUUCUGUACUUUUGAAACAAGGAAGUGAAAGCUGAUUUAUAUACAUGUACCAGAAGUGAGCCGAGUCAUCAAAGUCAAGGCCAACAAAGUUUGAAGCUUGUGAAAAUGUUUUUGUUGAACAAGAUCCAACAACUCUCUGCGGUUGGGUCCGUAAUUUUCGUAUCAAACGAUCAGAAAUGAAAAGAAAGUUACGUGGCAAUUUGCGUGUAAAUGCGAUGUUGAAUACAGCUCUUUUGACUGCGGAGGCUGAAUUGCGUCGCAAGCAGAGAGAACGUUUUCGUCGUUGGGCCGAGUUCCAAACGAAACUAGAUGGCAGUUACGCCAUCAGCAGUUAUGUAAAGGGCAAGGCGUCUGAAGAGGAGGAAGCUGAACGUCAAAAAAAGGUGGAUAAUUUGUGGAAAAGUGAGCUUAGUGACUUGGAUUCCUUUAUGCGAUCGUUGAGCAGCAGUACUAAUAAAGAUUGCAACGUUAAAUCCGCAUAUAUAAAUAAAUAUAAUGUAAAACGUGAUAAUAGCAAUGUGUUACAAAGUAUUGCAGUAGUUAGUUAAUAGUUUUAACUGCAAAUGUCUCAAUUGUGUAUUUGUAGUAUAGUUUUAUCAAGCAAGUUUUUCAUUUGCAGUCAUUGAAGCAUCGUACAAAGUGCUCCAAAAUGUGAAAAUGAAAACCGAGUGAGUUGAUGUGACACCAUUUUCUGGUAGAGAAAGCUAAAGCCAACGAGACGGCUGGGCGAAUCCGAGCCGAGUUUUGGGAGCUACGUACGCACAACUGAUGUGUAGAUGAUCAGCUCAGAUAUUACUCAAUCGGUUCGUAAAACUAAUAUUUAAACAAAACUAAAUAAAUUGCGAUGUUUAUUGUAUAUGAGUAGCUAAUUUUAACACAAAGCAAAAUUGUAAAGCCAUCGCCAUUUUGUUUAUAUAACAGUCGAUUUUCUAUUCACUUCGGAAGUAGACUUCGGCAAUCAUGCCGAAAGGUGUAUAUAUAAGACUUCGGACUGUGUCGUGUGGUGUUUCAUAUGCUGUACGCUAAUGACUAAUUUACUCGCGAUAUUUUAAUCACCUUUGAUGUUAUGUACAGGUUUUAUUUCAUGAUUUGAAUGCUUGGCAUUACACAUUAAUUCAACAAAAUGCGAACUGAAAUUAUCUUAUACACAUGCAAAUACCUAAUUUAAAUGUAUAACAGUUUACAAUACAAUAGGGUGAGCAAAAGAGAUGACAAUAAAUUGUAUAACAGUUCACAAUACAAUAGUGUGAGCAAAAGAGAUGACACUAUACGCUUUACAUAUUUGCUUUGAGUUGAUGUAGUUUGACUGCUAUAGUGCAAUCAAUACAUGAGGUGUACCUGAAAAGUUGGUCUGAUUCAUAUUGAAUCAAUUGUGAUGUUUCUAGAUAAAAUUCGUUUUUUGGCGAUAAAAGAUGAAAAAUCGGGAGGUAUUUGAUCCAACAACAGAGUGAGUGAGCUAAAACAAAGAGAAUGAGAACAUAGAAAUUCUACACAAAUUGCUGUGGGUGCUAAUUCGGAUAUAGGAUCUAUUCGGAAUAUGAAAGUGGCGGAAGCGACGGUAUGUGCUGGUGUGAUGUACUGCAGUAGUUUGUCAGUUGCACGCGCUGUUCCUCACUUAUUACACCCAACAUCGAUUUUGAAAAAUUGGUGGUGACGUCUUGAGAGAAUGGGCAACAAAGUGUGUUUGCAGCCGUGGCAUCAAUAGAAAGCCAUACUCGUGCGUUAACCAAAACAGCAUAAUUUCCAGAAACGAAUAUGUGGGACAAUGCAGGGACAAAAAUAUGCAAACAACCAACCAUAUGGUUGCGAAUGGUAUUUACAAAUAUUUUCGAAGAACAAUUAGCUUUAAAAUUUCAGCAAUGCGAAAUAGUUGAACGUGCCUGUUCGCAUUUAAAACCAACAUACAAAUAUCCAAAACAAGAUAACAUCGUGGGGAAUAAUUUUAUAUAUCAAGCGGAUAAUCGAAAUCGUCGUUCUACUCUCCUUAAUCUAUUUAUACUGGGGGUUGUAAAUAUUGUGGCCCUAUCUUAUAUCAACGUGACGUAAGCCAAAUGGAUUUCCUCUUUAAACACUUUUGUUAAUUUACAGAAUCCUGAAUGUUGAAAUUGAAUCUUAUUUGCUGGCUAGAGGCUGCCGAAACAACCAUCUCCUUUCUUUUCUACUUCUGUUCUUAGUUUUUCUUUUCCCCCUUUGUUUACGAUUUUGUUACAGCGAUACAACAGUUGAACGGUUCCUGUGUGUAUCGGUGGUCCAAUGAUAAGAGCUGAUCAACAAUUUCCAAGUAUUAUGAGAAUGUGUUGAGGGAAAACUAGUCCCGGAUUGAGAAAAACAACUAAGCCCACUUUAUUACGAAAAUACAAAACACAUAUUUUAUACUCAUUUAGAGAACAAAUGAGCGAAUUAGAGCUUUCUUUUAGAUUUUUCAGUGAUACUGCACAAUAUUGCGAAUUAUAUUGAUGUUAAAGAUUGCAUGCGUCCAAUUUGGCAGAUAGAUCCGCUCCAUGUCUUUUGAAAUGUGGCGACGAAGUGGUGAGGUUAGGUCCAUCAUAUCUUGCACUAAUUUCUACCAUUACAGCAUCAAUAAUGGGAAUCAAAGACUUAAGUUAUGGGCCUCAAAUCACAUCAGAACUACCAGCGGGUAAUUCAACGGGAUAACAUUUUAGUAUUUCUUUUUAGCGAUGCGUCGCAGUAGAACGUUCCUGUACGCAUCUAAAAACUUUUGUAAACAAUUGAGAAGCUUAACGAUAUUGUCAUCACCUUAAAGACAUUGAGAGCAUCAUCACAUAUUUUCUAUUCAAUUCAAUUGUAAGAGCAAAUACAAUUUUAUUUGACUAAUACACAAUUUAUAGGAAACACUUAAGAGUACGAUCAACUUUCCUAACACUGCUUUGUUAUGGCACAAUUGGACUUUUCAAAAAACAACCAGGAGAAAACUUUGAAUACCUUAAGAACAUCUCUUAAUUGCACGAUAUUUCAACUUGAAACCGAUUGUAAGACAUUUGCAAUUUAAAUUUGACUAAUAAGUAAUUCAUAGGAAACGAUAACUUAACAAUUGCACUGCAAGGAUACAUUUUAAUUUGUCAAUCACCAAAUUACAAACGCAUGGAAAUGUAAAUACUGUUCUGAACAUAAGGGCUAAAAUAUGUAAAAAUGGCAAAAGGGAAUCGUGCCAAGACAAUACCAUCUAAACAGAAGUUGUCAACGAGGUUAGGUUGAUUUAUAUAUCUGUAGUAAUGUUAUUUCACAGUUAUUGCACGAGCAGCUGUGGAGGGAGGAGAUCUCUGCUAUAUCUGGUUGAAUACCAAGAUUUCGGUCUAUUAAAUUGGACGACCAAGACGAAAGGUUUACCUUAUCUUAAUAAGUACUUAAUAUCCAAUUGCCUUUUGUUUAUAUUAUGACUGUUAUACCAUAAAUCACGCGAUAGAGAAGAAAUUUCCAUAUUUUACAGCGGUACGUCGCAGUUGAUCGGUGCCUGCGUGUGCCCGUGUCUGUGCCUAGUUCACUAGGAAGUUUUUCUAAAGCAGCUUAACAGAUUUAGAUCUUAAAAAUCUCCGAAGGAGUCACCAAAAGCAACAGUAAGAAACUGUUUCCUUGCCAUAAAUUAAUGUGUUUCUUAUAGAUUUCACAAAAUCAAUCUACUAAGGAUUGGAUCCUACAUCAUGCUUAUACAGACGAAGAAACAUUCCAACAUUAUAAUCUGCAUUUAAUUUUACUAUCUGGACCGUAAAAUUACAAAACAUCAAUUCUGAAUUAGUAUGGCAAAGAUACGGUUAAAUGUCGAAUUUUUUUUUACAGAAACGUACCUGGACCUUGCAUGAAAGGGAAAAAUAUAGGUUCUUGGCAAAAAGGGAAUCACGCCAACAGCAGGUGCAAUGCAUCAAAAUUUUUUACGAAAGAAAAACACCAAUUUUAUACAAGAGGUUAGAUGAAAAUCUUUAUACAACCAAAGCACGUGGUAUUCGAUAUUUGCCAGCUUUAAAAGGCCAAUCGACAAUGUUUUUUACAACACCUCUGGGAAUUUAAUUGUUUAACGAAUUGGAUAAUUUGUUAUUUUAUUUUAUAUUUUUUUCGGAAAUGUGCAACUUUUUUCAUUACAAUUUGUAGCGAUAUAACGCAGUAGAUCUGUACCUGCGUAUAUCUCAUCUGUAUACUGGCUAUAGGGAAUCAAGCCAUACGACACUCGGUAAAAAAAUGCGCCCCUCAUGUGAAACAUCGGUUUAUGAGCAGUGAAAGGGCAUCCAAAUAGAAAUAACGGUUCCCGUGGAUAUCUUCCACUUGAAACUGGUAAAACUAAAAUGUCUCGAUUUAUCAUACAUAUCUUUACGAUUUUACUAGCGAAUUUAUUUUCGCGGCACCAAAAAACAACGAAAUAGUUUAUUUAUUACAGCGAUAUGAUACAGUUGAACGGUACCUGUAUGUAUCUACAAUGUGAAUAAUAAUCGGUCGACUCUGCCAACUAAAGGUCUAUUAGAGAUAACCAUCACGAAUAAACGGCAAUUUACGGUGAUGCAUUUCAGUAUUGACUCAUGUGGCAGUUGAGGAAACUGAAGGUGCUUUGAAAAUGAACCUUUCCUUCAAUUAAACAUUUAUUUGCAGUUUGAAAUUACGUCCAACUUCUUGGUAAUGUCGUAAGAGAAACUAACUGUGACAACAAGAUGUUUCAGCAUUAUCAGUAUUUUCAAAAUAGUGGGUACGAGCCUUCGCUUCUUUUACCAUUGUUGCAACUUGCAGAAUUUACUCGGCCUAUUUUUUUUUUCAUUGAGGAAGUGCAUCAACGAGCCUUAAAUCUUCAAUUAAAUGAGGUGUUUACUUGAAAUAUCCGUAUUUGUUAAACACUCUAUUUGCAGUAAACAAUUAAAUGUUUAAGUCACUGUUAAACAUACAAAUGACGGCAUUGUACGCAUCCAGAUGAUCGUUAAAGGGAAUCGAACGAUACAACUAGAAGUGGCCGUCCAUAUACACACUUACCAUAUAUACUGCUAAUCAAUGUAAUCACGAUAGUCUUGUUCUAAUUAUACGUUAUCUAGUAACUGAAGGACAAGCUGUAAGUCGCACCUCAGAAUACACAUUUUAUAACAUCGUUGGUCUUCCGUUUCCUUUCGUAAUGUGCGAAUCCGUACGAGUCGCCGCUCGGCCAAUUCCCUGGCAUUGAGCGAUGGCAAGGAGUUCUGAUGUAUCUGUCCCCGAAUGUGGGCGAAGAAAUGUUUCUAAAGGGAAUCAAAGAAACACGCGUAAGACUUGUUACGGUUCGUUCUGUUAGUAUAAAAUUAUAUAUUUACAGGUCUCAUGUGACUUAACGAGUCAUAGUAAGAAACGAUUUCAAUCACUGAAUGUGGUCUGCAGAUGUUCUAGCAAAGGCUCAUUAAAGAAGUUUUAUCAAUCCAAACGACAAUGGCCUAGUUAACAUGUUGAUUAUGUAAUUGCUCAUUCUACUGGACAUUUUGAAAAUUGUACACCUAAAAAUGAUGAAAUCCUUGUUUACACGACUACUUUUUUUGUUACAAUUACUUUUCUGUUAAAAUACCUUAAAAGAUAAUUGUAUCCAAGCAUUCUACUUGCCCAAAUGGCAAUGAUAUCCAAUUUUCUGUUAUAAUAUCUAAGUUCAAUUGUUUAUCACCCACGAUGUUUAUAGAAAAUCUAAUAAUUUUAUCUGAUUGUAAAUUAUAACAACUGUACGAUGAAGUAGUCGGUCCACUAAUAUGCCAAGUGCAUAAAGAAAUGUGAAGAAAUUUAAAUCCAUAUUCUAAUAUAUGUAAAUGUAAACCGAGAAGAAAAAUCUCAUGUAAAUUGUGACAGUUCAUAUUGACUGAAAUAUCGCAAAUACUUUUGCAUUGUAAUAUUCACCAAUUUUUAAAGAUAUUCUGUAAAUUGAUUCCUUAUAUAUUUUUAAAAAAAUCUUACCUUGUAAUUUGACAUGUAACAUUUUUUGAAUGAAUGUAAUUUUGAUACCUAUAUUAAUUAACUUGGCACACGGCACGAAAGCAGUGAAAACUACAUAUUUCCACCACAAGAUCAAAGCACUCCUUGGUGACCGGUGCGUGAGAGAGAGAGAGAGAAAGAUGCCAUUUUUGUCAUACAAAGGGUUUUGCAGUGUGAGCAUCAUAAUGAGAGCAGAGAUUUCGUCUUAUCUAUUGGGUUAAUUCUUAACUACACAACACACAUCCAUCCGAUUGCAAGAGAGAUGCAGAGAUAAAGGGAGAAAAGGCAGGAAAGAGUGCAAGAUAUAGAAAGCUUAGUUCAUAUAGGGAAAACAUCCUGAUCAGCUGUUCGGUUUGGGAAACCGAGUUAAUUUGGUGGAAUGCGCGGAAGAUUCAAUUGGCUCUUCAAUAUUCUUCGGCCGUACCAUCUAAGCCGCAUUCGCCUCAAACCAAUACGUUGCAAGUGCUUUAUACAGCGCCUCACAUUCAAAUUCCAUCCUUAAAUAUUUGUGUGGCAUACACAACUUUUGCAAGUCAGCAGAGCUACUCACAAUCUCGUCCGAUAUACAAGUAGUUCGUCCUGGUCACGUGUUACGUGCGCAAGCAACCUCAUCUAGCGUCCUUGUUUAUACUUAACUGCAAGCAAGCGUGCACACAAACACCUCGUAUUAACGCACAUAUUUAUCAACACACAACCAAAAGCAUUCUUUACCACCAAAAA